rnacentral:rRNA from 1 species
CUACGGGGCGCUCCAGUAGGGAAUAUUGGGCAAUGGGGGAAACCCUGACCCAGCAACGCCGCGUGAGGGAAGAAGGUUUUCGGAUUGUAAACCUCUGUCCUUGGGGAAGAAAAAAAUGACGGUACCCAAGGAGGAAGCUCCGGCUAACUACGUGCCAGCAGCCGCGGUAAUACGUAGGGAGCAAGCGUUGUCCGGAAUUACUGGGCGUAAAGGGUGUGUAGGCGGCAUGUUAAGUCAGAUGUGAAAUGUAGGGGCUCAACCCCUGAACUGCAUUUGAAACUGGCAAGCUUGAGUGCGGAGAGGUAAGUGGAAUUCCUAGUGUAGCGGUGGAAUGCGUAGAUAUUAGGAGGAACACCAGUGGCGAGGGCGACUUACUGGCUCGUAACUGACGCUGAGACACGAAAGCGUGGGGAGCAAACAGGAUUAGAUACCCGCGUAGUC